rnacentral:rRNA from 1 species
UACGUAGGGGGGCGAGCGUUGUCCGGAUUCAUUGGGCGUAAAGAGCUCGUAGGCGGUUCGGCAAGUCGGGUGUGAAAACUCCAGGCUCAACCUGGAGACGCCACCCCGAUACUGCUGUGACUCGAGUCCGGUAGGGGACCACGGAAUACCUGGUGUAGCGGUGAAAUGCGUAGAUAUCGGAAGGAACACCAGUGGCGAAAGCGGCUUCCUGGUCCAGCACCGACGUCAGGCACGAAAGCGUGGGGAGCAAACAGG